GAUGAACGCUGGCGGCGUGCCUAAUACAUGCAAGUCGAGCGAACAGACGAGGAGCUUGCUCCUCUGACGUUAGCGGCGGACGGGUGAGUAACACGUGGAUACCCUACCUAUAAGACUGGGAUAACUUCGGGAAACCGGAGCUAAUACCGGAUAAUAUAUUGCACCGCAUGGUUCAAUAGUGAAAGACGGUUUUGCUGUCACUUAUAGAUGGAUACGCGCCGCAUUAGCUAGUUGGUAAGGUAACGGCUUACCAAGGCAAGGAUGCGUAGCCGACCUGAGAGGGUGAUAGGCCACAUGGGAAGUGAGACAGGGUCCAGAGUCCUACGGGAGGCAGCAGUAGCGAAUCUUACGCAAUGGGCGAAAGCCUGACGGAGCAACGGCGCGUGAGUGAUGAAGGUCUUCGGAUCGUAAAACUCUGUUAUGAGUGAAGAACAAAUGUGUAAGUAACUAUGCACGUCUUGACGGUACCGAAUCAGAAAGCCACGGCUAACUACGUG
rnacentral:rRNA from 1 species